GUAAGGAGGGGGAUGAGGGGUCAUGCCUCUUCUCAGGGAAAGCAGGAGCCCUUCAGCAGGGUCAGGGCCCCUCAUCUUCCCCUCCUUUCCCAG
ensembl:miRNA